UACGAAGGGGGCUAGCGUUGUUCGGAAUUACUGGGCGUAAAGCGCACGUAGGCGGAUCGAUCAGUCAGGGGUGAAAUCCCAGGGCUCAACCCUGGAACUGCCUUUGAUACUGUCGAUCUGGAGUAUGGAAGAGGUGAAUGGAAUUCCGAGUGUAGAGGUGAAAUUCGUAGAUAUUCGGAGGAACACCAGUGGCGAAGGCGGCUCACUGGUCCAUUACUGACGCUGAGGUGCGAAAGCGUGGGGAGCAAACAGG
rnacentral:rRNA from 1 species